rnacentral:rRNA from 1 species
UACGUAGGGUGCGAGCGUUGUCCGGAAUUACUGGGCGUAAAGGGCGCGUAGGCGGACAGUUUAGUCAGAGGUGAAAGCCCAGGGCUCAACCUUGGAACUGCCUUUGAUACUGACUGUCUUGAGUUCGGGAGAGGUGAGUGGAAUGCCGAGUGUAGAGGUGAAAUUCGUAGAUAUUCGGCGGAACACCAGUGGCGAAGGCGACUCACUGGCCCGAUACUGACGCUGAGGCGCGAAAGCGUGGGGAGCAAACAGG